rnacentral:rRNA from 1 species
AUGUUAGACGAAUCAUCUGGAAAGAUGAAUCAAAGAAGGUAAUAAUCCUGUAGUCGAAAACAUAUUCUCUCUUGAGUGGAUCCUGAGUACGACGGAGCACGUGAAAUUCCGUCGGAAUCUAGGAGGACCAUCUCCUAAGGCUAAAUACUCUCUAGUGACCGAUAGUGAACCAGUACCGUGAGGGAAAGGUGAAAAGUACCCCGGAAGGGGAGUGAAAGAGAACUUGAAACCGUGUGCUUACAAGUAGUCAGAGCCCGUUUAUGGGUGAUGGCGUGCCUUUUGUAGAAUGAACCGGCGAGUUACGAUCUGAUGCAAGGUUAAGCAGCGAAUGUGGAGCCGUAGCGAAAGCGAGUCUGAAUAGGGCGUUGAGUAUUUGGUCGUAGACCCGAAACCAGGUGAUCUACCCUUGGUCAGGUUGAAGUUCAGGUAACACUGAAUGGAGGACCGAACCGACUUACGUUGAAAAGUGAGCGGAUGAACUGAGGGUAGCGGAGAAAUUCCAAUCGAACUUGGAGAUAGCUGGUUCUCUCCGAAAUAGCUUUAGGGCUAGCCUCAAGUGAUGAUUAUUGGAGGUAGAGCACUGUUUGGACGAGGGGCCCCUCUCGGGUUACCGAAUUCAGACAAACUCCGAAUGCCAAUCAAUUUAACUUGGGAGUCAGAACAUGGGUGAUAAGGUCCGUGUUCGAAAGGGAAACAGCCCAGACCACCAGCUAAGGUCCCAAAAUAUAUGUUAAGUGGAAAAGGAUGUGGCGUUGCCCAGACAACUAGGAUGUUGGCUUAGAAGCAGCCAUCAUUUAAAGAGUGCGUAAUAGCUCACUAGUCGAGUGACACUGCGCCGAAAAUGUACCGGGGCUAAACAUAUUACCGAAGCUGUGGAUUGUCCUUCGGACAAUGGUAGGAGAGCGUUCUAAGGGCGUUGAAGCAUGAUCGCAAGGACAUGUGGAGCGCUUAGAAGUGAGAAUGCCGGUGUGAGUAGCGAAAGACGGGUGAGAAUCCCGUCCACCGAUUGACUAAGGUUUCCAGAGGAAGGCUCGUCCGCUCUGGGUUAGUCGGGUCCUAAGCUGAGGCCGACAGGCGUAGGCGAUGGAUAACAGGUUGAUAUUCCUGUACCACCUAGUAUCGUUUUAAUCGAUGGGGGGACGCAGUAGGAUAGGCGAAGCGUGCUGUUGGAGUGCACGUCCAAGUAGUAAGGCUGAGUGUUAGGCAAAUCCGGCACUCGUUAGGCUGAGCUGUGAUGGGGAGAGGAAAUUGUUUCCUCGAGUCGUUGAUUUCACACUGCCGAGAAAAGCCUCUAGAUAGAUAACAGGUGCCCGUACCGCAAACCGACACAGGUAGUCAAGAUGAGAAUUCUAAGGUGAGCGAGCGAACUCUCGUUAAGGAACUCGGCAAAAUGACCCCGUAACUUCGGGAGAAGGGGUGCUCUUUAGGGUUCACGCCCAGAAGAGCCGCAGUGAAUAGGCCCAAGCGACUGUUUAUCAAAAACACAGGUCUCUGCUAAACCGUAAGGUGAUGUAUAGGGGCUGACGCCUGCCCGGUGCUGGAAGGUUAAGAGGAGUGGUUAGCUUCUGCGAAGCCACGAAUCGAAGCCCC